rnacentral:rRNA from 1 species
CCUACGGGAGGCAGCAGUGAGGAAUAUUGGUCAAUGGCCGGAAGGCUGAACCAGCCAUGCCGCGUGAAGGUCAGUGCCCUAUGGGCGUUAAACUUCUUUUGUGCGGGAGCAAUAAUGGUCACGUGUGGCCAGACGAGAGUACCGUACGAAUAAGCAUCGGCUAACUCCGGGCCAGCAGCCGCGGUAAUACGGGGGAGGCAAGCGUUAUCCGGGUUUAUUGGGUUUUAAGGGUGCGUAGGCUGUGAGGUAAGUCAGCGGUGAAAUGACCCCGGUCAACGGGGUGAAGUGCGAUUGGUACUGCCUUGCUGGAGUGCGGAUGCGGUGGGAGGAAUGUGUGGUGUAGCGAUGAAAUGCAUAGAGAUCACACAGAACACCGAUUGCGAAGGCAUCUCACGGAUCCGCGAUUGACGCUGAUGCACGAAAGCGUGGGUAUCGAACAGGAUUAGAUACCCCAGUAGUC